AACGAACGCUGGCGGCAUGCCUAACACAUGCAAGUCGAACGAGACCUUCGGGUCUAGUGGCGCACGGGUGCGUAACGCGUGGGAACCUGCCCUUAGGUUCGGAAUAACUCCCCGAAAGGGGUGCUAAUACCGGAUAAUGUCUUCGGACCAAAGAUUUAUCGCCUUUGGAUGGGCCCGCGUUGGAUUAGCUAGUUGGUAGGGUAAAAGCCUACCAAGGCGACGAUCCAUAGCUGGUCUGAGAGGAUGAUCAGCCACACUGGGACUGAGACACGGCCCAGACUCGUACGGGAGGAAGAGGUGGGGAAUAUUGGACAAUGGGCGAAAGCCUGAUCCAGCAAGGCCGCGUGAGUGACGAAGGCAUUAGGGUUGUAAAGCUCUUUUACCCGGGAUGAUAAUGACAGUACCGGGAGAAUAAGCUCCGGCUAACUCCGUG
rnacentral:rRNA from 1 species